UACGUAGGGUGCAAGCGUUGUCCGGAAUUAUUGGGCGUAAAGAGCUCGUAGGCGGUCUGUUGCGUCGGCUGUGAAAACCCGGGGCUCAACUCCGGGCCUGCAGCCGAUACGGGCAGACUAGAGUUCGGCAGGGGAGACUGGAAUUCCUGGUGUAGCGGUGAAAUGCGCAAAUAUCAGGAAGAACACCCGUGGCGAAGGCGGCUCUCUGGGACGGUACUGACGCUGAGACGCGAAAGCGUGGGGAGCGAACAGG
rnacentral:rRNA from 1 species